rnacentral:sRNA from 1 species
GGAAAAGGAAAUUCUACUAAGAACGCCCACGUCAUGUGGGCAACAUAGGAGCCACCGUAUCCUGCGGA